GGGGAUGUUUUGGUUUUGACAUCAAAUUAACUGGAAAGUAAGCAUGCCGAGAGUCGGAGGAAUGGCUCGUAAAUCUCAGCCUCCAAGCCUAUAGAUGGCAAUAACAACUAUGCACUCGCUGCGUAAUUAAGCCAAGCUUAAUCGCUUAAUCGCAUCGGCCAAGGCUGCCGGAGCGACGAGUAUCCCGCCGGUUCUUUAAGCCGACUAUGAACCGUGCAGAUGGGGUAUCAUCCAAGUCGGAUGCUGGCGUGGACUUCUCUAAAGCGCCCUAAGACUCAGAGAAUAAGAUUCGGGUAGCCCGUCUGCCGGCAGCCCGUUUCCGACAACCAAAGGCAGAAUAAGCAUGUAGAAAGCUUUGUGGUGGUUUGCUUGGACGGCGGUUCGAGUCCGCCCAUCUCCACGA
rnacentral:tmRNA from 1 species